rnacentral:lncRNA from 1 species
UACUUGCUAUGAACAAUUAGGAAAUCUGGAUAAAAUUCCAUGAGAAUCCUGUGUGCAGACCUCAGAUAGUUCCUAAGUCAGUUCACUUCCAACAUUCUGUGUAACUUUUCCCAUUAGGAGAACUGCCAAUUUAAACAGCUAAAAGCAGGGCAAUUUCAGACAUUCUAAUGGCAUUGAGACAAAAAUUUGAGUUUCAAUCCACCAAAAAAGAGAGACUCUAGUUAAUAUCCAGGUUUUUAUUUGGAAUCCACAAACUCUCAACACUUCCUCAGGUCAGCUCAGUCCCUGAUUGUAUUCCAGUGAUCUCUGCUACUCAGAUAGCUACCAGAAUCCAUCCUAGAGGAGAAAACAUCAUUUAGAGGCACUACAUUUUAUCCUACACAGUGUAUGGCAUUUGAUGUAAAACUACCAGGCACAACAAGAAACAGGCCCAAGGGGCAAAGGACAGAGAGGGUUUAGAGGGAUAGAGGACAGGUGACCUAGAAAUUGUGUUAUCCAAAAUAGACUUCUAUGAUAAGUUCAAGAAUAUAGGUGAUAAGAUUGAGAAUUUUACCAGAGACCCAGAAUCUAUAAAAAUAUAAACAAAAAAGCUGGGCACAGUGGUGCAUGCCUAUAACACCAGAAACUUAGGAGGCUGAGGCAGGAGGAUUGCAAGUUCAAAGCCAGCCUCAACAAUCUAGCAAGAUCCUGUCUCAAAAUUUUAAAAAA